rnacentral:rRNA from 1 species
ACCUCCUACGGGGAGGGCAGCAGUGGGGAAUAUUGGACAAUGGGGGAAACCCGUAGCAUCCAGCCAUGCCGCGUGUGUGAAGAAGGCCUUCGGGUUGUAAAGCACUUUCAGUGGGGAGGAAAGGUUGAUGGUUAAUACCCAUCAGCUGUGACGUUACCCACAGAAGAAGCACCGGCUAACUCCGUGCCAGCAGCCGCGGUAAUACGGAGGGUGCAAGCGUUAAUCGGAAUUACUGGGCGUAAAGCGCAUGCAGGUGGUUUGUUAAGUCAGCUGUGAAAGCCCGGCUCAACCUGGGAAUUGCAGUUGAUACUGGCCGACUAGAGUAUGAAAGAGGGAGGUAGAAUUCCAUGUGUAGCGGUGAAAUGCGUAGAUAUAUGGAGGAAUACCAGUGGCGAAGGCGGCCUCCUGGUUCAAUACUGACGCUGAGGUGCGAAAGCGUGGGGAUCAAACAGGAUUAGAUACCCUGGUAGGCUCUG